rnacentral:rRNA from 1 species
UCCCAUAACCAUGAGAGAACCCAAGUUCUCCCAUUAAAGUGGUUUCGACCAUACCUGAAGAUGGGGCUGCGUCCUAUUAGCUUGACGGUGAGGUAAAGGCUCACCGUGGCGAAGAUAGGUAGGGGGCCUGAGAGGGCGAUCCCCCACACUGGGACUGAGACACGGCCCAGACUCCUACGGGAGGCUGCAGUGGGGAAUCUUGCGCAAUGGUCGCAAGGCUGACGCAGCGACGCCGCGUGGAGGACGAAGGCCUUCGGGUUGUAAACUCCUUUUCUGGGGGAAGAAUAAGAUGAGUAGGCAAUGGCUCACCGAUGACGGUACCUCAGGAACAAGCGCCGGCUAACUUCGUGCCAGCAGCCGCGGUAAGACGAAGGGCGCAAGCGUUAUCCGGAAUUACUGGGCGUAAAGGGCGUCUAGGCGGUCAGUCAAGUCAGUCGUGAAAGUCCUUGGCUAAACUGAGGAAAGUCGACCGAUACUGAUUGACUAGAGGGACGUAGAGGGAAGCGGAACUCUCGGAGUAGCGGUGAAAUGCGUAGAGACCGAGAGGUACCUCGAUGGUGAAGACAGCUUCCUGGGCGUCUCCUGACGCUGAAGCGCUAAGGCCAGGGGAGCGAAGGGGAUUAGAUACCCCCGUAGUCCUGGCUUCAAACUAUGUGGGCUUGGUGUCGGCUCCCGAUAGAGAGUCGUUGCCGGAGCUAACGUGUUAAGCCCACCGCCUGGGGAUUACGUCC